CACCUAUCGGGCAUAUCAUUCGUCCAUUAGCUACGCCCACCAACUCCAUCCAAAGUGAAACAGGAUCUGGAACGAUAGAACUCCUCUAUCAGAAUACAACUUUCAGCCUAAAGUUUUUAGGGCCAUAGAGGAGGACAAGGCAAUAGCCCUGAACAAAGCCAAGAGGCUGCAAGCACUUCUGACCCAACAGGCUGCUAAUAAUUCUGUGGAAGAGCUGGACCCAUUGGAUGAGCUUGCGCUUCCAGCCUCCAGCUCAGAAGACUUAGAAGCUCUGAACCAGGCACUUGAGUCCGGAGCAGUCAGAAAAAAAGUGGUGCAUCAUCUGGCAGUCAUUGGAGGAAGGGAUCUGAGAGCUGCUGUUUAUAAUAUUUUGCCAAAAAUUGUCACAAACCGCCUUGCAGAACAAUACAGCCUCUAUGGACGGAAAGGCAAAAAAAAUUUCUCUGCUCACAAGCACUUGGUGGCUGUGAUAUUUAGGGCUGUACGAAAGAACCAAGGGUCAGAUACUCUGAGUGAUACUGAGAUCCAGGCUGUGUUGGGAGAUUGGCUGAAACAUGCGAAGUGUCGUAAAGACAAGUCGGCAAAUCGAGGACAGG